GCAGGUUAACCGGAAGUUUCGAUUAAUGGGUACAUAAAGCACUCAAAAUAUGUACCGCAUUCAUGAAAUGUCUCCAAAAUUGCGUUAAAGUCCAGUUUUUGUCGUUUUUUGUGGUAACGGGUGUUUUCUAACGUCGUUCGGUGGUGACGUCACGGUAGGGAGUCGUGGUGGAAGGUAGCCUCAGCCUAGUACUAGAACUAUGGCGUCUAACUGGGAUGAGGAAGAGGUGGCAAGAACCACAAAUUACAUUUAUGAUGGCCCACAGCCGUAUAAUUUCGAGCCUGUUAGACGUGAGGGGGCGAAUGAGGAAUUGCCGAGGAUUGAUGGCCGUCAAAGCCAAUUAAAUUCAUGGUCAGAGGAGAAUGGGUGGAGAGUUGGUGAGGUGUCCUGGCAAUACCGGUACACUGCAUACAGGCAGGCUAUACGAUGGGCUUAUGGAGUUCUUGGCCUGCAUAUAAGGAAGCCUCUACCCUCCUGUCUGGUUUCAGCCAUCAGGCAACAAUUUCAGAGUGGUGACCAGACCUAUCAUGGCUUUCAAUGGCCUCGUUUGGAUGAAGAAUAAAAACCAUAUUGGCACGUACAACAUGAAUACAAUUAUUUUUCAGUUCAAGAAUUAACUCAUGCUAGUUGUGUUGCGAUCGCUCAACCGCCUUUAAAAUGUUAUAAAAUACACAGAACAUGUGAAUUCAUAUAAAAACAGUUUAUUAGGUCAUCCCAAGUAAUAGGGAUCGAUUACUGAAAAAAGGGACAGGUUGAAAGGCCUGAUAUAGUAAACAAAUCAAGAAAAAAAGGGUUAGGCACAAAGAAACCAACAUAAAAUAAUCUUGCAAUAGUGUGGUCUUACCUGAGGGUCAGCACUCACACAGCACAUUCUCUCACUCACUCACGGACACAUACAUGCAAUGAUAUCACAUAGAGCAGACGCAUAGUGAUCCAAGAGAAAAGCGCACACAGAGGUCCCUUUCGGAUUCUUACAAUUCUUACUUUUUAUGAAUUAUGGGGCAAAUGGAGCUGUAAUGGAAUGAUUUGUGCACACAACUAAGUAAAAAACCCAAGUAAUAAAAACAAAACAUGCGACAUGCAGUGAGGCGGUAACCAUGGUGAUGCUGAUAAAGGAAUGAAUGGGUUACAGCCAAUAAUAACCAAGAGAUAAUGUUAGUCGACAGAUGUUAGGGUCAGCGCAAGGGGUUAAAAUGUAAGGUUAUAAUAAACUUCCUGGAACAAUCAAAAAACCCAAGCAAUAAACAGCACACAAAGAGAAAACAAAACAUGCGGCAUACAGAAAACCACCACCAAAUAAAAUAACAUAUACAUUUAUACAUACUCACAACUAAAUGAUUGGCCUGUGUGGGAAAAAAACUAUGCUAAUUCAAUUUUUUGUAGCGUGACUGCUGGGCUAGAUAGAGGCUGACGGCCUCCUCCUUGGGAAUUUGUUCGAAGGAUUUGGCGAUGGGGGCGGGUGCACAGGCUGACAAAUUGGCGCUAACCUCUUGAAGAGCCUUGGGUGAAUCCAUGUAGCUCUCCCGAAGAGCCUCGAUUAAUGACGUUGCAUAACCUGCAGACAUAAUAAUGAUAAAAUACUGUAUAAAGAUCGAUGUCACAGAUGUCUUGUGCGCAA
ensembl:lncRNA